UACGGAGGGUGCAAGCGUUAUCCGGAUUCACUGGGUUUAAAGGGUGCGUAGGUGGGCAAGUAAGUCAGUGGUGAAAUCUCCGGGCUUAACCCGGAAACUGCCAUUGAUACUAUCUGUCUUGAAUACCGUGGAGGUGAGCGGAAUAUGUCAUGUAGCGGUGAAAUGCUUAGAUAUGACAUAGAACACCAAUUGCGAAGGCAGCUCACUACACGAAUAUUGACACUGAGGCACGAAAGCGUGGGGAGCAAACAGG
rnacentral:rRNA from 1 species